GUGAACUGCUGGCAGGGAGCGGCGGUAAGACGUGGGUGUGGGUCGUUAAACGGAAGUCCGGGUCGUCAAGGGUGAGCAUGCGGCUAGGCAAGACAGAUGUGAAAUCCCAGGGCUCAACCUGGGAACUGCAUUUGGGACUGCAUGGCUAGAGUGCGUCAGAGGGAGGUGGAAUUCCGCGUGUAGCAGUGAAAUGCGUAGAGAUGCGGAGGAACACCGAUGGCGAAGGCAGCCUCCUGGGAUGACACUGACGCUCAUGCACGAAAGCGUGGGGAGCAAACAGGAUUAGAUACCCGAGUAGUC
rnacentral:rRNA from 1 species